ensembl:lncRNA novel transcript, antisense to YPEL2
AAACAGGUCACUGGAAGAAGAUAAUAUACUGAAGGACAAAUAAAAGUCAAGUGUAGCUGGGCCCAGAAUGGCCAAUACUGAUGCAAGAAAAUAUUUCAAUUCUCAACCUGAUUAAUGUACUGCAGAGUCUGUUCCACUGGGGAAAAAAUGCAGAGAGGCAUUGCUUCAAAGCCUUGAUCCAGAUUAAAGUGAUAGAGACCUUAAAAAAAAAAAAA